AAUGAAAUAAAACAAACGACCAGGCUAGCCAGAACACCGCUGGAAAGAAAAGUGUAUACAAUUGAUGACAUCGCGACACUCUCCGAUGAUGCCCUACAAAAGCGUCGCAAGCGGGGAAAAGAGCCGUUGAAAAGAAAAAUGGCCACGACCGGGGUCUCCAAAGCGGUAUCAAAGAAAUCUAACA